ACGGCGUCGGUGACUUUUUGAGAAGUCGGAAAGGCCACGGGAGCUUUUCACAAAGGGGCCGCGGAGCGACAAGCAAGCCGAAACGGUUAACCCGUCCUUCCCCUCCCGCGCCGAGCAGCGCGGCACGUUUCGUCAGCGAGGUUUGGCAACGCGAGAGAUCCUGCAACCAAUUUCAUUUCCUGAUAAGCGAGCGCUCCGCGGGGGAAAGUCAGCCAGAGGCUGCCGGAGCCGUCAAGCGCCCCGGCGGGCCGGAGAGGCUCCUGCGAGGAGCCAGCCUGUCUCCGGCUUAUCGCCGCCGUGCCGAGCGGCACCAGGGCCGCCGGCCUCCUCCGGGGCCUCCUCCGGCCCCCGAAAGCCCGGCCGGCUCCGGCGGCCGGCUCGCGCUGUGCUUUAAGCGACCGAGCCGCAAGCGUGCGGCCGCGAAAACACGCCUGGGGAUGCAACUCUGAACCAUCUUUGUGCGUUAACUGUGACUUAAAAUCCCCCCCCCCCCGCCCUUUUAACAGGGAAAAUCCAAAUACAGAAGAAUAAAUCAAUCGUGUACGGAUAAAUUUUGGCAAGAUGAGACGAGGAGGGACAUAUUUUCCCGAGGAACUGGAGGCUGCCCUGCUUGCAAAGCUGGACACCACAAUUCAAAGAUUCCUGCUUUUAAACGAAAAGGGAUUUUUCUAAAAAGUUAUCUUCACAGAUACCCUCGAUAAUUUUACUGCAUUACUGCAUUAACUGCAUUAACAGCCAAUAUCAGCUCUAAUUGCAAAACGGCAAAUACGCUUCACUGCAAGUUCAGCUGUGAUUUCCCCACACAUUUAAAUGCCAUCUUUUAAUACAGAGCUAAUCUGACUGUUUGUUCCCUCUUAUAUCAUUACAAAUUGAUUCACAACUCAAAUAUUUUCACAGGAAAUUCAAGUAGCUUGACACACAGAGAUUUGAACUUUUAAAAGUCUGAAGUUGGAGCCUUUAAAAAAAAAAAAAACACCCCAACACUGCCAGUCUGAUGACCCCUGACGGGAAGAUAAAAGGAGAAAAUAGCUCAAAUAAUAACUUCAGGCCCUUCAUUACAAAAAUCUCGGGUAACUUUUCAAGUGGCUUGCAGGCUUAUAAUAGCAACGGCGUCUGCAGUUGAUUAGCUGCACCCGCACGCCCAGAUGUCGCAGCACCAGCGAGCAAGCGCUGCUGCUUCGAGAGUUUACUGGGGAGCAGAACAUGACUGCACCGAAAAACAAAGUCGCGAGAAAGGAAGUUGGGGAAGCUAAAGAGAUAUUAAGCUUGUCCUCCACCAGAGCGGCUGAAUUCAUUUUUAUUGCAUCUUCUGUGCUGCUGGCAAGCCUGGGGGCACAGCAUCAAAAUGAAGGGCAAUACUGCAGGUUAUGGUAUACCACCGACUGGUCGACAUAAGUGAAAGCCAGCCCAGAUGCAUUAAUCUCUAUAUAUUGCUAAGGUGAGAACCUACAUGAGCUGAAUGGAAGUGGAUGUGGGUAAUCAAGACUCACUCGUUGCUCCUUGAGACCAACAGUUCAUCAAUUGAAGGGCACUGACUCCACCCCUUCUGCUCCUUCAGCUGCUUGCUCUCAAGCCACCGCACUCUGCUGAGCGCCUUGAAGAGAAACCAAGUUGUCUGAAGCUUCAGAGCUCACCCCAGAGCACUGGGUUUAAAGAGAGAUGGUCAUACCUCAGAGCUGCAUGUGAAUAACCAGGUCAAAUGGGCCGGGAUGCCUUUGGACGUUGGUACCAAACAACAGCGUUUCGGCUGCAAGGAGGCAUAAAGCCAGAGCAGACCAGAUGAGUAUCAUCAACAAGGAAUCUCAACCGGCCAGAUGACCACUGAGGGCAUGACUGCCCUGCAAAGGCACAGACAGCUUAGGUUGGCAGCCCACCAAACUCCUGCAGAUUUAGGAGACUAGACUGGUCUCCUGACACCUUCAAAGAUACAAUGCAAAAGCCAGUCCCAUGCUGUCAUUUACAGCGACAAAGAAGAGACACAAUAUCCAUCUUUCCAACUUUCUGGGCUACUGCUAAAUCAAUGUCACGUCCACAAAACAGAAACAAAGGGGGAUGAUGGAGGAAGGGGAUGGAGAAAAGCGGAGCAUAGACACUCUCCACCCCUAAUUAAUACCCAUCAGUAUGAGCCACACGUUCCCCAGCAUGAGGUAUGCGACGUCCUAGGCAGCUGCUGAGCCUCCUGUUCAGACCAGGCCUGGUAACGUCUCCGAGGCGUGAAGAUAUGGCUUGAAAUCUUUAGCCUGUUGAGGCCAACAGCAAAACUCUCAAAUUCCAGCGAGACCAGGAUUUUUCCCAUAGAUCUCCGAAAUGCUAGGAUAUAGCAAUGAAUGUUUCAGGGACGAGGAAGAAAACAAGGCUGAAGUGCUCCAUUCACUCUUGCUCUACAAAGGAAAAUUUUAUAGAGUGCUCUCUCCAAGUUGAAAGCAUGGUUAUUAUUUUCUGCUGGAAAGUAUUUUGGCUCAUUUACAGUAAGAAACUGAUACUACAUGAGAAAUAGUUUAAAGAGCAGGCAUUCAAGAGCUUGCUAAUGCAUAUUUUCCUAUGCUGAUGCUGCAAUGAUGUUUAUAUUACUCCUCGAUAGGGAGGUGUCAGAAAAGUAUUAGUGUAUUUUUAACUGUGUGCCAGGAAGACAAGGAAAAUAAAAUAGCUGUUUCUUUCUUGUCCCAGUCAACAAUGCCAAAAGUUGCUGUUUAUUUUUUUCCACUCCCAUGGAAGAAUUUAUAACCACUGAAGCAAACUAAAGCUAAAAUACUGUUUUAAUUCCAAAACUGACUGACAGCUGCUGUGUCAAAGCAAACCUAAGUUGUCGGGGUUCUCAGAAGCAUUUCACCUUUGAAAAAUGAGUUUCCUGGAGCCGCUUGAGGUCCCCCUUCUCCAUAAUGCUAUAAAAACAAUGAAAUAAAAAUGUGGUCUGGUAGAAGUUUCAUAUCCAGAAGACACCUGGGGAGAGGUGGAGAGCACAUCCCCUUUUCAGAUCGCCUUGAGAGUAACAUAUAAACACGGUAUCGGUUACAACAUUAGCUAAACUCUCUUCGGGAGCACCAAACAGAGGCUGUGGACACCAUGGUACCCACCACCACCGUCAGACCUGGCCACAUGCAAACACACGAUAUACUCAACUUAACUCAGACCUCAUGGGCCAAAGGACUCAUCCAUAACAACAAGGAACCUCAAAUCUUGACAGGUACAACUUUCAAAAUCCAUGCAAACAUUUACUGGAACGGCAACUGUAUCGAGUUUUGGUUGCUUUUUAGUUAAGAAUUUUAAAAGACAUCCUUAAUAAAUAAGGAAAUAUGCUUUGUAAGUGACUCACCAGAGCAUGCCGAUGUUUUAAAAGCCUUGUGCUCAGCAAUAUGAAGUUUCAUGGUUUUUCAUUAACUGCAAGUUUCAAAUUAAACUACAUUCUAAAGGGCUUCAGAAUAAAAUUAUUUCGCUUUC